rnacentral:tRNA from 1 species
GGCCUCGUAGCUCAGAGGAUAGAGCAGCGGUUUCCUAAACCGUGUGUCGCAGGUUCGACUCCUGCCGGGGCCACCA